AGUGAAUGCGAUUGCCAAGUCUAUAAUUCUAGGGUGCCUAGCAUCUCUAAUUCUUGUUCUGAAUCCAUCAUGGUCUAGUGUGGAUGGACUGGGAGAGUUAUAGUUGAUGAAUGAUCAUUGCAAAUGACUUGAUGAAUGAUCAUUGUAGAUACUCUGAAUCGAUGCAUAUGGUUUCAGGUUUAAGAUUGGCGGUCUUGAUUCCUGUCAAAACUUGUUUCUUCUUUAGAGUUCAUUAUGUAGCUUGAACAUUACAUGUCAGGUGUUAUUUUUAUGCCACCAAUGCUGAGUUCUCCUCCCUUGCAGUCUGCUUAUAAUGGAAAGGGUGACAGAAGUGAUCCAUGGACUUGGCCAGAAGUGGAAGGGCCAUUAACGGCUGUUUUGUUUGAAGGUUGGAUGCUUGGAUUCAAACCCUUGCCAGCAGAUGCAGUCAAAGCUGUUGAUCCACAGCUAGAGACUGUAAACAAGAAUCUUGAAGCUUAUUAUGAUGCGUGGGACAAAUUUGUCAAGGCAUGGAUAGUCAUCAAGAUUGAGGACACUAGUUGUGUCUACCAAUGGCGCUUGCAGGCUAGCAUCUCACCUUCCCUAUGACCACAUUAUGUUCUAUCGAAAUACAGAAAUUGCCAUGAGAGAGGCCGGAAAUCCUGGGAUGUCUGAUGAGGAGGUUAAAGAUUUUGUCUCCCGUUACCUCCGAGCGUACGAGGCUUAUCUCCCAACACUAUACUCUGAAGGACCAAAGGGGUCAGACCCUGAGCAUCUCCUCGUUAUCAAAAUUGAUGAAGGGAGAAACCCGUUAUAGGUAGCUAGGUGAUUGAAACUUCCACUGAGAUUCUACUGAGGAUUUUCUUUUUUUCUUGAUUGUUGGGCCUAUUGAAAGGUCAGUUUUGUUUUAAUAACAUGCCAUCUUCUGUUGUUAGUCAUUGUAAAUUGUAUAUUCUAUAUGAAAUUUUGACAUGUAAAUAAACUCUGUCAUUCAGCUCCAGAUGUAUUGGCAGCUUAUCAGGAAUUGCCUUCAAUCGCUUAUGUGAUCAUAAA